CGGGUGAGUAACACGUGAGUGACCUGCCUUUUAGGCUGGAACAACUUACCGAAAGGUGAGCUAAUGCCGGAUGAGUUAUAUAAGUGCAUGUUUAUAUAGGAAAAGUUGGGGAGACCUGACGCUGAAAGAUGGACUCGCGUCCCAUUAGCUAGUUGGUAGGGUAAUGGCCUACCAAGGCGACGAUGGGUAGCCGGCCUGAGAGGGUGGCCGGCCACACUGGGACUGAGACACGGCCCAGACUCCUACGGGAGGCAGCAG
rnacentral:rRNA from 1 species